rnacentral:sRNA from 1 species
CCAUGAUAUAAAAGAAACGAAAAGAAAGGUUUACGAUUAUUGUUAAACAGUAUCUACUUCUAGAAUGACUCGAAUUUGCAUUUUUUUGCUUUGUGUUGCAUUUUUUGCUCUGAUUGAUGCGCGACCAAAGAAUGCUCGGUUGAGAGAUUCAAAGAAAAACUCAGAACUUAUCAAAUUGGAUGAUCGGCUAUUGGAGCGAAAACUUAUUAACAAGGCAAAAAUCCCUUUAGAUCAAGUGAAAAGUCAUAUAAAAAGUGAUACUUCUUCAAAAAAGGAACGCGGGUGUGUUUGGUUCGAUUGUUGGCCAAAUAAAAUAGAGUCUACGCCUUAAAAGUUAACAAAUAAAGCAAGAUCUUGAUCUUUGUAUACUGCUAUUAUUUACGUAGUUUUUUUUAUAUUUGUCACAAAUUUUAUUUUGAUCUGCUUAUGUGAUUUAUUUUUAGAUGAAACUUUACUUUGUAUAAGCAAUGUUGACGAAGAAAAAACAGUUUUUAAAAUUA